rnacentral:lncRNA from 10 species
CUUAUUUGGCGCCAUCGAUGUUCACAGACCCAGUCAUUGCCACAAGUAGUGUCUGGAUUAAUAGUAACUUCUUUAAUUACUCCAUUAUUAUUUGGUGGCCCAACCCAAUCAUUAACAUCCUUAAGUAGGGGGGAAAAAGCCAAAUUUUACUAUGCAUGUAUUUACCUCUUCCUUCUCCUUUACACCAAACCCAACCAAUCCUGUUACUUGUGUCUCUGCAUUCAGUGACUUUAUCUAGAAUCCAAUGCCUUCAUUAAUGUUUAUAGCCCUUUACUGGGUCUUUAUCAUCUCUCUAUCCUCUGGUUUUCUUCUGGCAUAUUUCAAACAAGGUAACAAAUUUUUAUCCUCUCCUUUUCAUUCCAAAGAACUGCAAAGGCUUCUUUGCUCUGUCACCCAGGCUGGAGUACAGUGGCAUGAUCAUAGCUCACUGCAGCCUUGAUCUCCCAGGCUCAAGCGAUCCUCCCAUCUCAGCCUCCCAAGUAGCUAAGGCUGUUGGUGUGCACCACCGCACCCAGCUAAUUUUUAAAAAAUUUUCAGUAGAGAUGAGGUCUUGCUAGCUUGCCCAGAUAGGUCUUGAACUCCUCAGGUCAGCUGAUCUUCUCGCCUCGCCUCACUAGGUGCUGGGAUUACAGGUGUGAGCCACUGCACCUGGCCUGCAAGAGCUUCUUAACAUCGUGGUAAGCCAUGCAAU